AUAUCAAGCAAUUCAAUUCAAAAUCAUCAUCAUCUUCUCCAUAUGGAUUGAUCAACUCCUCUGCCACCUUAUGAAAAAAAAUGGUCUGUUCCUUUUGCACGGCCACAUAUUUAAAGCUAUAAACUCCAAACUUGAGGCCAAAGUGACCAAUAUAGCAAUUUUUGGAAAACAGGAUGACUAAUUGGUCUCAAAUUGAAAAAGGCUGGAUUUUUUGGGUAAUGUGUGAUAAAGUGGGCUAUUAUUUACGAUUCUUCUCUGUGUGAAUUCUUCUAUCAAUAAUCAUUUAUGCUUAUUCCUUCCCUCUCUUUCUUCUACACAUACAUGCCUACUCUUUAACUCCUCUUAACUGUAAGAGGCUGGUGCUUUCUCUUGAACAUGUGCACACGUUCCCUCACCUAAAUAGGCUUGCUUCAGCUAUAUCUUUUGCUUUGCUUGUGUGUACUCACAAGAAUCGGCUAUAUGAUGACUUCACAAAAAUGUUUGGUAUCAGCAAAUUUUCAUUUAUACUGUGUUGGAACGAGAAGAGAAUAAAUCAAUUCUUUAUUAAAUGGAACGAUAAUACAGUCAAAAUAUGCUGCAAAAAUAUUUGACCACACAGCAGAAAUCAGGACACCAAAAG